AUUGAACGCUGGCGGAAUGCUUUACACAUGCAAGUCGAACGGUAGAGGGGGCAACCCCUCGAGAGUGGCGAACGGGUGAGUAAUAUAUCGGAACGUGCCCAGUCGUGGGGGAUAACGUAGCGAAAGUUACGCUAAUACCGCAUACGAUCUAAGGAUGAAAGCGGGGGAUCGCAAGACCUCGCGCGAUUGGAGCGGCCGAUAUCAGAUCAGGUAGUUGGUGGGGUAAAGGCUCACCAAGCCAACGAUCUGUAGCUGGUCUGAUAGGACGACCAGCCAAACUGGAACUGAGCAACGGUCCAGACUCCUACGGGAGGCAGAAGUGGGGAAUUUUGGACAAUGGACGCAAGUCUGGUCCAGCCAUUCCGCGUGCAGGAUGAAGGCCCUCGGGUUGUAAACUGCUUUUGUACGGAACGAAAAGGUCUCUCUUAAUACGGGGGACUCAUGACGGUACCGUAAGAAUAAGCACCGGCUAACUACGUGCCAGCCGCCGCAGUAA
rnacentral:rRNA from 1 species